GAUGAACGCUGGCGGCGUGCCUAAUACAUGCAAGUCGAGCGAACAGACGAGGAGCUUGCUCCUCUGACGUUAGCGGCGGACGGGUGAGUAACACGUGGAUAACCUACCUAUAAGACUGGGAUAACUUCGGGAAACCGGAGCUAAUACCGGAUAAUAUAUUGAACCGCAUGGUUCAAUAGUGAAAGACGGUUUUGCUGUCACUUAUAGAUGGAUCCGCGCCGCAUUAGCUAGUUGGUAAGGUAACGGCUUACCAAGGCAACGAUGCGUAGCCGACCUGAGAGGGUGAUCGGCCACACUGGAACUGAGACACGGUCCAGACUCAUACGGGAGGCAGCAGUAGGGAAUCUUCCGCAAAGGGCGAAAGCCUGACGGAGCAACGCCGCGUGAGUGAUGAAGGUCUUCGGAUCGUAAAACUCUGUUAUUAGGGAAGAACAAAUGUGUAAGUAACUAUGCACGUCUUGACGGUACCUAAUCAGAAAGCCACGGCUAACUACGUG
rnacentral:rRNA from 1 species